GGUGGGGGUAUAAUAAGUGAAAGAUGAGUGAAUAUUUUUGCCCCAUAUUGAAAAACAUUUUGGAUGAAACUAUAAAUUAUGAAAAAACUUUUCCACCAUUCAGCUAAAUACCGAAAUUUACAAAAUUUUUAUUUUAAAUGCAGCGUUCCAAAAUAAUACGAUAUAAUCGACUAAUCGAUUAAUUUUUACCGAUUCAAUCGAAAUUAACUAAUCACGUGGCUCACUGUGUAUGCCAUCGUGUUAAAGUGACAGAACUUACAGCACGUAUACACAGAAAUGGGGUUUUGUUGUUUUUGUAAGAAAAUAGAGAAAAUACAUUCGUCGGUGCAUUUCUUCAAGUUUCCUAAGCAAAAUUACAAGGAAUGGGUGAAAAAUAUGGGUCGGGAAGAUUGGGUACCAAAGAAGUAUGAUACCUUGUGCUCGGAUCACUUUACCAUCGAUUGUUUUGAUUAUGGAGAAUAUCGGGUUCGAUUGAGAAAAGGAGUUGUACCAACAAUUUUUGGACACAUUGAUAAUGGAAAAACUCGUCGACUGCAUCUAUUUGCUGGUUAAUGCAGUUUCCUUCACUAAAAAUGAUUUUAGACCAUCAUAAGGAAGCAGUUAUUUUCCCCCGAGAAAUAACCAACUGCAGAAACAAAAACUUGGAUUUAAAAUCUGACACCAGGAAAUUGAUGCCAAUGAUAUGUUCCGAGACAUCACAGACUCCUUCGUUCACAUUCCCUGGUUCUCAUGAUUGUGAGCAACGCAAUGGUACUGGAAUACUUUUUAUAGAUGUGAAUAAUACAGAACAUUCGCAUGGUGAGGAUAAAAUACUGCCAUCUUCGUCGAUUGAAGUGGUAACACCGCGUGCUACAUCUGCGAUACAGGUUACACCAACGACUCGAGAACGUGGGAGACGGUUGGUUCAGCAUGAUCAUCAUUACGUUGACACGCCUGAGACAUUGAAGAAAAAACUAAAUGCUGCUCGUUUACGUAUAUCAAAGUUCCAGUCUGAAAAAAAGUGUUUGGCACAGCAGGUGAAAAGGUCAAAAGUAGUCAUCAAAUCAAUGAAGUCUGUGAUUUUAGCGUUGCAGGAAAAGAAAAUGGUCUCCGAAACAGGUUUGUACAGUCUGCAAGGCAGGGAAUCGAAACCAGCUCAAUUGUUCGUUCGUAUGAUUGAGAAUAAA
rnacentral:misc_RNA from 1 species